rnacentral:rRNA from 1 species
UACGUAGGGUGCGAGCGUUGUCCGGAAUUAUUGGGCGUAAAGAGCUCGUAGGCGGUGUGUCACGUCGGCCGUGAAAACCUGCAGCUUAACUGUGGGCGUGCGGUCGAUACGGGCAUCACUGGAGUUCGGCAGGGGAGACUGGAAUUCCUGGUGUAGCGGUGAAAUGCGCAGAUAUCAGGAGGAACACCGGUGGCGAAGGCGGCAUCCUGGACCGACACUGACCGUGAGGAGCGGAAAGCCAGGGGAGCAAACAGG